ACUCCUACGGGUGGCAGCAGCAAGGGAUCGUGCACAAUGGGCGAAAGCCUGAUGCCGCGACGCCGCGUGAGGGAUGACGGCUUUCGAGUUGUAAACCUCUUUUCUCAGGGAAGAGCGAGGACGUCACCUGAGGAAUAAGUCACGGCUAACUACGUGCCAGCAGCCGCGGUAAUACGUAGGUGGCAAGCGUUGUCCGGAAUUACUGGGCGUAAAGGGUCCGUAGGCGGUUUGGUAAGUCUUCUGUGAAAGCUCCAGGCUCAACUUGGAGUCGUCGGGGGAAACUGCUGAACUAGAGACUGUCAGAGGCAGGUGGAAUUCCCGGUGUAGUGGUGAAAUACGUAGAUAUCGGGAGGAACACCAGUGGCGAAAGCGGCCUGCUGGGGCAGUUCUGACGCUAAGGGACUAAAGCGUGGGGAGCGAACCGGAUUAGAUACCCGGGUAGUCCACGCCCUAAACAAUGAAUGCUAGGUCUUCGGGGUGUUAAUUCCCUGUGGGCCGAAGGUAACCCAUUAAGCAUUUCGCCUGGGGACUACGGCCGCAAGGCUAAAACUCAAAGGAAUUGACGGGUCCCCGCACAAGCAGCGGAGCGUGUGGUUUAAUUCGAUGGUAAGCGAAGAACCUUACCUAGGCUUGACAUGUUUGGUGGUACCGAACCGAAAGGGGAGGGACCCUUCGGGGAGCCUUACACAGGUGUUGCAUGGCCGUCGUCAGCUCGUGUCGUGAGAU
rnacentral:rRNA from 1 species